rnacentral:rRNA from 1 species
GAGUUUGAUCCUGGCUCAGGAUGAACGCUAGCGGGAGGCUUAACACAUGCAAGUCGAGGGGCAGCACGGGAUAGCAAUAUUCUGGUGGCGACCGGCGCACGGGUGAGUAACACGUAUGCAACCUACCUCGUACAGGGGGAUAACCCGGAGAAAUUCGGACUAAUAUCCCAUAAUGAUAUUGAGAGGCAUCUUUUAAUAUUUAAAGCUCAGGCGGUACGGGAUGGGCAUGCGGAACAUUAGCUAGUUGGCAGGGUAACGGCCUACCAAGGCUGCGAUGUUUAGGGGACCUGAGAGGGUUAUCCCCCACACUGGUACUGAGACACGGACCAGACUCCUACGGGAGGCAGCAGUGAGGAAUAUUGGUCAAUGGGCGCAAACCUGAACCAGCCAUCCCGCGUGAAGGAAGAAGGCGCUAUGCGUUGUAAACUUCUUUUCCAGGGGGAGAAUUUUUCCGUCGUGACGGGAAUUGACGGUACUCUGGGAAUAAGCAUCGGCUAACUCCGUGCCAGCAGCCGCGGUAAUACGGAGGAUGCGAGCGUUAUCCGGAUUUAUUGGGUUUAAAGGGUGCGUAGGCGGAUAGAUAAGUCAGUGGUGAAAUUCUGCAGCUUAACUGUAGACUUGCCGUUGAUACUGUCAGUCUUGAGUAUGGUCAAGGCAGGCGGAAUGUGUAAUGUAGCGGUGAAAUGCUUAGAUAUUACACAGAACACCGAUUGCGAAGGCAGCUUGCUGGGCCAUUACUGACGCUGAUGCACGAAAGCGUGGGGAUCGAACAGGAUUAGAUACCCUGGUAGUCCACGCCGUAAACGAUGAUCACUCGCUGUUGGCGAUACACAGUCAGCGGCUAAGCAAAAGCAUUAAGUGAUCCACCUGGGGAGUACGGCCG